rnacentral:rRNA from 1 species
AUUGAACGCUGGCGGCAGGCCUAACACAUGCAAGUCGAGCGGAGCGGCGGACGGGUGAGUAAUGCCUAGGAAUCUGCAUGGUAGUGGGGGAUAACGUCCGGAAACGGGCGCUAAUACCGCAUACUAUCAGAUGAGCCUAGGUCGGAUUAGCUAGGAGGGGGGGUAAAGGCUUACCAAGGCGACGAUCCGUAACUGGUCUGAGAGGAUGACCAGCCACACUGGGAAUGAGACACGGCCCAGACUCCUACGGGAGGCAGCAGUGGGGAAUUUUGGACAAUGGGGGAAACCCUGAUACAGCCAUCCCGCGUGUGCGAUGAAGGCCUUCGGGUUGUAAAGCACUUUUGGCAGGAAAGCGGUACCUGCAGAAUAAGCACCGGCUAACUACGUGCCAGCCGCCGCGGUAAUAC